ensembl:lncRNA
AAAAAGUCUCUUGCAACCCCGCUUAAAGGAGCUGCUGAAAGCAGCGCUGAAAUGGGCCUCUCUUCUUGGCAGUUGGACGAUGGCCACACAGUGUCCAGCCGUGUCUGCAGGACCAGAGAUAUGUCUUGUGUGCAUGCUGGGAAAGAGGGCAAGGAGAAGAAACCCAGGAUCAUUGUGUUUGAAGCUGGGAGACAUGUCCUGAAGUCCCUCUGGCUGAAUAACUGUGACCAUCCCACCACCACCGCAGAAGGAAACAGCAAGCUUUUUUGUGAAUCCCUUUCCUAGCAGCAAGCCAGGAAAAACGGAGCGUUGGCUCUUGCUUGGACUGUCACACGCUUGAAUUCAAGCAAUGUUUUCUCCUUUGGCAGAGAAGGAGCGAAGCCACCCUCUGCUUUGGAAGCAGCCUCUGCUUCCCUUCCUGCCUCUCCCUGAGGAUUCCGGGGGUGCCAGCUGGGUCUCAGGGGGCAGCAAGCAGCUCUGUGGGGCUGGUGUCUCUGUGGCCAUGUUCCUUUGGGCAGCUCCCUAUGUGUGACACAGCACAGAGGGAGUCCCCAGAGUUGAAGAAGCCUCGGGACAGUGCUGGCUGACGUAGAGUUUGGACUCAGUGAUCCUUGCGGGUCCCUUCCAGCUCGGGAUAUUCUGUGGUUCUAGGAUCUGAGGGAAGGAGCACUUGUUACCAGGAAGCACGGGUCUCACAGAUGCCCUUUGAAGGUGCUGGGCAGGGCUGAAGUGCAGAGUUCCUGCAGCAGGGAUGCAGCGGAAGCCUGGAGGAAAAGCAGCUAUGGAGAUAACGGCAGCAGUGACAAUCAGAAGAGGUGGGAUCGAGCUCAGCUCCGAGACAACCCGUCGGCUGAAGCAGACAUCUGUUUCCGUGGAAAAAGUCAUCUGUUGCUGUGAUGAGCCUUUGCCGCUCCUUGCCUUGGGGGAGCUGGAAGGAAGGGAAGAAGGGAUGGAGGUGGCUGAUGUGCUGCUGAUCGGGCCUGGCUGUGCCUGAGCCAAAGACAAAGCACCUGUCAGCUCUGCUGUGGGCAGCCCUGCUUUGCUUCAGAGCCACACCUUUCACAAAAGCACGAGCAUCCUCAAACGCACCCAAGCUCCUGAUGUGCUGCCAAGGGUUUCUGCCAGGCUCUGCUUCCAUCGUGUGCGAGCACCAGGGCAGCCUGGAGAGUAAACAAUGUCCUUUAAUAGGAACAGCGGGCAGCUGCUUCUAGUGCAGGCAGAAAGGAGCGUUCCCCAUUCAGAGUUUGCACGGGGGAAGCAGGAAGGCAGAAGGGGAACCGAAAUGCCCUGAUUUGGAACGAUUCCUUCUCAAGGUUAGUGUUAAUUUGAUGUGAAUGAUGGGAGCUGAAAGGCCCAUCAGCAGGGCAUUUUGAACAAAUCGAGGUGAUGGCUCUCUGGAGGAGCUGUUUGCGGUGGAGACUUCAAUCUGGAGCUAAAGGGUUCCCACGGUAUCUGCAGUCAGCUUUCCCCAGACAAGUCCCAACUCGGAGGCAGUUGCACAGCAGCGAUCCGACCCAACGCCGUCCCUCUGCAAGGAUGUCCCACUGGUGUCCUGCUGUCCAUCCCGCAGCAUGGGAGGGCUCAGCUGGCCGUGCCAACAGCCCCAACCAUUUGCCAUGGCUUGGGGAUCUCUGAGCACACAGGAUGCUCAGAACAGGAGGAAAACAAACACGGAUUGCUGGCUGCAGUACCAGCUGUCUGCAUGGUCUCUGGGACAGUGAUACGAAGCACAGCAAGGAAGAUCUGAAGGACACACAACUCAUCAGCUCCUUCUAGCACCAUUUCCCCCCCAGCUCUCACAAGCCUCCUCUCCCCCAUCCACCUAAACCUGAAUAAUGUACAGAGCUGCAUUUAAAAGAAGUCUCAUCCGAGAUGUUCCCACAAGCCUUCAGCUAAUCCCAACUGCAGCCAUCACUUGAACUCCGUGACAGCAUGCAAUCACAGCCUUGGAAAUAUCACAGCUUCUACAAAAGCAAGCUUCAGUUAUCUACACGAGGCUAUAUAUAAAGCUGCACGCUGCAGAGCUAUGCAUCGACC